UGAAAGAGUUUGCAACUUGUAGUUUAUACUGCUCAAAGCCACUUUGGAUAGUCUUCCCCUAGUCGAAGGACAAAAUUAUGCCCAGGGGCAAAACAGUAAAACAGAUGAAACAUCAACACAGAAACAUCAGCUACACUGCAUAUGGUUAACUUGCAUUCACCCCAUUUUUACAAGGCACUUUGGACUGAACCAGAUUACUCCUCCAAAUGCUUCUCAACUGUCUAAAAUGGCUGUAAAACUAAAAUUUGUGUUUGCACACUCUCCUGAGCUACCUCACCCCUCCUCCAGCAAGGUCGUGCUUCACAAGGGAUUGUUGGUGUUUUAAAAGGGACAGUCUACAUAAUACAAACUGUUUGCACUAAAGAAGCCAAAGAGACUUCACAGAAUGUCCAUGGCAUUGACCUUUUCCUGUUAUGAUAUCUCUUUUGUAUACCAGGUUAUAAUUCUUUGGUAUUAAUAUCCAGCAUCUAGACAGUGAACUAGAAUUAUGGUUUAGAAGAUCUGCUUUGUUUGGGGUCAACAAUAGGGAGUUGGAAAACAAUUUUCUAAGUAUGCUUAACCGUUAGCAUUUCCUAUCAUAAGGUUAGACAAGUAUUGCAACUAGCUUAAAUAUUUAACUAGUAAUCUGUUUAAGUAUUACAAUACAGAAGAUAAGCUCAUGAAAAGAUGUUCAACGUCAUUAGUUAUUAUUAGAGAAGUGCAAAUUAAAACCACAAAAUAUCAUUACAUGCCUAUCAAUGGUUAAAAUAAAAAAAUGACAAUACUAAAUGCUGGCAAGGAUGCAGAGAAGCUAGAUUGCUCACACAUUGCUGGUGGAAAAGAAAAUAGUACAGCCUCUUUGGAAAACACUUUGGCAAUUUCUUUAAAAACUCAACAUGCACUUACAUACAAUUUAACAAUUGUAGUCUUGGGCAUUUAUCCCAGAGAAAUGAAAAUGUACGUUCACACAAAAACCUGUACAUGAACGUUCAUGAAAGCUUUAUUCUUAAUAGCUAAAAACUGGAAACAAACCAAAUGUCCUUCAACAGGUGAAUGGUUAAACAAGCUAUGACAUCCAUACCAGGAAUGCUGUGCAGCAAUAACUAUUGAUACAGGCAAAAACUUGGAUCCAUCUUAAGGGAAUUAUGCUGAGUUUACAAAACCAAUUUUAAAAUGCUACAUUUUAUGACUUCAUUUAUACAAUAUUCUUGAAAUUGUAAAAU
rnacentral:lncRNA from 1 species